rnacentral:rRNA from 1 species
UACGGGGGGGGCAAGCGUUGUUCGGAAUUACUGGGCGUAAAGGGCGCGUAGGCGGCCUUCUAAGUCGGACGUGAAAUCCCUCGGCUUAACCGAGGAACUGCGUCCGAUACUGAAAGGCUUGAAUCCGGGAGAGGGAUGUGGAAUUCCAGGUGUAGCGGUGAAAUGCGUAGAUAUCUGGAGGAACACCGGUGGCGAAGGCGGCAUCCUGGACCGGUAUUGACGCUGAGGCGCGACAGCGUGGGGAGCGAACGGG